rnacentral:tRNA from 1 species
CAUCUCGAUAAUCAAGCCAUUUUAAGAACUGCCCUGCGGAGCCAGAGGUCGUGGGUUCAAGUCCCACCGGGUCCGCCA